rnacentral:rRNA from 1 species
UACGGAGGUGGCAAGCGUUGUUCGGAAUUACUGGGCGUAAAGGGCGCGUAGGCGGGGAGGUAAGUCGGGUGUGAAAUCCCUUGGCUCAACCAAGGAACGGCGUCCGAAACUGCUUCUCUUGAGUCCCGGAGAGGAAGGUGGAAUUCCCGGUGUAGCGGUGAAAUGUGUAGAGAUCGGGAGGAACACCGGUGGCGAAGGCGGCCUUCUGGACGGUGACUGACGCUGAGGCGCGAAAGCGUGGGGAGCAAACGGG